AAUGAACGCUGGCGGCAUGCCUUACACAUGCAAGUCGAACGGCAGCAUGACCUCGCUUGCUAGGUUGAUGGCGAGUGGCGAACGGGUGAGUAAUGCAUCGGAACGUGCCUUUUAGUGGGGGAUAACGUAGCGAAAGUUACGCUAAUACCGCAUAUUCUCUGAGGAGGAAAGCAGGGGACCUUCGGGCCUUGCGCUAGAAGAGCGGCCGAUGUCGGAUUAGCUAGUUGGUGAGGUAAGGCUCACCAAGGCAACGAUCCGUAGCGGGUCUGAGAGGAUGAUCCGCCACACUGGGACUGAGACACGGCCCAGACUCCUACGGGAGGCAGCAGUGGGGAAUUUUGGACAAUGGGCGCAAGCCUGAUCCAGCCAUGCCGCGUGAGUGAAGAAGGCCUUCGGGUUGUAAAGCUCUUUCGGCUGGGAAGAAAUCGCACCCUCUAAUACAGGGUGUGGAUGACGGUACCAGCAUAAGAAGCACCGGCUAACUACGUG
rnacentral:rRNA from 1 species